GUGCUGUCUUCGGCAGCACAUAUACUAAAAUUGUAACCAUACAGAGAAGAUUAGUAUGGCCCGUGAAAGGGUGAUAUGAACAUUCGUGGAACGUUCUACAGUUAA